ensembl:snoRNA SNORD14 Small nucleolar RNA SNORD14
UCGCUGUGAUGAAGUAGAUUCCUAAGUCAUUCGUAGUUUCCACCAGAGGUUGAAAGACCAAAGAGGGCUCAAGUACCUUCCUUGGAUGUCUGAGCGA